GCCUCGGUGAUGUAGUGAUAGCAGCACGCGUCCCCGGUAUUGAUGAAACGCGGGUUCGAUUUCCGCCCGAAGCC